rnacentral:rRNA from 1 species
GAUGAACGCUGGCGGCGUGCCUAAUACAUGCAAGUCGAGCGAACAGACGAGGAGCUUGCUCCUCUGACGUUAGCGGCGGACGGGUGAGUAACACGUGGAUAACCUACCUAUAAGACUGGGAUAACUUCGGGAAACCGGAGCUAAUACCGGAUAAUAUAUUGAACCGCAUGGUUCAAUAGUGAAAGACGGUUUUGCUGUCACUUAUAGAUGGAUCCGCGCCGCAUUAGCUAGUUGGUAAGGUAACGGCUUACCAAGGCAACGAUGCGUAGCCGACCUGAGAGGGUGAUCGGCCACACUGGAACUGAGACACGGUCCAGACUCCUACGGGAGGAAGCAGUAGGGAAUCUUCCGCAAUGGGCGAAAGCCUGACGGAGCAACGCCGCGUGAGUGAUGAAGGUCUUCGGAUCGUAAAACUCUGUUAUAGGGAAGAACAAAUGUGUAAGUAACUAUGCACGUCUUGACGGUACCUAAUCAGAAAGCCACGGCUAACUACGUG